CAUGGGACUCCUCCCACUCCAGUAUCCAGAACUCGCCCAAGCUGACCCCCAAAAUGAAAAAAGACAAGAGGGCUUCCAGGGGCAAGAAAGAGAAGGUGAGGCAGCUGCAGUGCACUGAGCAUCAGGCGGUGCUGGCAGAGCAGAAAGGCCACCUCCUCCUGGACAGUGACGAGCGGCCCAGUCCCGAAGAGGAAGAAGGCAAGCACAUCCACCUGGGCCACCUGCGCUUACAGAGGACACUGCACAGCAUCGACCUGGAGAUCCAAGAGGGUAAACUGGUUGGAAUCUGCGGCAGUGUGGGAAGUGGAAAAACCUCUCUCAUUUCAGCCAUUUUAGGCCAGGUAAGAUUUCUGUUAUUGUCCUUUUCUGCUGCUUUCUCUGGUUCGCAAGAGUCUCAGGAAAAACGAACAAAUUUCCUGGAGAGUCAGGAAAGGUGGAAACAAAUGAACCCUCAGCCUGCAUUGUAUGCCCCCAAUCCCCCGCAGUUCCCCCCAGUUCUCCCCCUUCACAGCCUUCUGCCUGGAAGGAGGCCUGGUGGGCGCCUGAUGGAUGACUGACUGUUGUCCCAGCUGGAGCCAUUUGGUCUCAUGCCUUCUUUCAUUCAGCAUGUAUCUAUUGAGUGCCACAGGUAUGCCCGUGUAUUGAAAAUGUCAGAGAUAAGAGAUGAACAGACACCCUACACUGCAGCGCUGCCAACAGAGUUAACCUGUAAAGAAGCAGGGCGGCCAGCAC
rnacentral:sRNA from 1 species